UACGUAGGGGGCAAGCGUUGUCCGGAAUUAUUGGGCGUAAAGAGCGUGUAGGCGGCCAGAUAAGUCCGCUGUGAAAUCUCGAGGCUCAACUUCGAGCUGUCGGUGGAAACUAUCUGGCUAGAGUCCGGAAGAGGAGAAUGGAAUUCCUGGUGUAGCGGUGAAAUGCGCAGAUAUCAGGAAGAACACCCGUGGCGAAGGCGGUUCUCGUGGGACGGUACUGACGCUGAGAACGCGAAAGCGUGGGGAGCAAACAGG
rnacentral:rRNA from 1 species